ensembl:misc_RNA 7SK 7SK RNA
GGAUGUGCUGGUGAUCUGGCUGCAACAUUUGUAACCCCAGUGAUAGCCAGGGUUGAUUUGACUGAUCUGGCUGGCUAGGUGUCCGCUUCCUCCCUCAAUGCUCCAUGUGCACCCCUGCAAGGGAAGGGGAUACUACCCCAUAGAGGAGGACCAUUUCCUGUGCUCCCCUGCUAGAACCUCCAAACAAGCUCUCAAAGAUUAGAUGACUGUAGAUUAGGGAUUUACUUCUACAAGAGGUAAUAAAAUGCACAUGGGAUGUUUAUAUGUUU